rnacentral:precursor_RNA from 15 species
AACUUCUCUACCUCUUGUUCUGUCCUGUUUUGGGACACAAGCAGAGCAUCUGCAUGACCUUCUCUACCUCAUGCUCUGCCUGUGUCCCAAAAUAGGCAGAACAUCUGCAUGACAGUAGAGG